rnacentral:rRNA from 1 species
GAUCAUGGCUCAGGAUGAACGCUAGCUACAGGCUUAACACAUGCAAGUCGAGGGGCAGCGGGAUUGAAGCUUGCUUCAAUUGCCGGCGACCGGCGCACGGGUGAGUAACGCGUAUCCAACCUUCCGCAUACUCGGGGAUAGCCUUCUGAAAAGGAGAUUAAUACCCGAUGGUAUCAAGAGAUUGCAUGAUAACUUGAAUUAAAAGUAAGUUUCGGUAUGCGAGGUGGGGAUGUCCGUU